CUUAAGUCUAGCUGUGGUUUUAUCUCCUCAUUAACAACUUCAGGGAGUAAGAUCCCUUUGCAGCAUUUGCAGUGUCACAAAGUUCACAAACCACAAGCUUUUUUUGUAGAAAUAAGUGAUGUAAACACUGAUUUGGGGCAAGUGUGCUUUAAAAAAAACUUAUUUUUCCUUAUUUUUUAACGAUGUCUUUUUGCUUCGCAGAGUCUAAACUUGAAGUGACACCGGGUUAAAUGAGAACUCAUCUGAACGAUCGCUCAGACAGGUCACAGAUGGCACGGCACAGUGUUUCCUUCCUGCUAAAGUGUAGCACUCGCUUAAAUUCAUCUCUCUUUAAUGUUGCCCUCAUGAAGUCCCACUAGUGCUCCUCUUGUUUGUGUUAACUUUAAAUGACUGAUUAUGUAAGUGGCUUCCUACUGUGUCCUCAAAAGCGAUAAGAGGGUAAAAGCAGCACUGACCAGUCUGCUGCCCAUUUGCUCUUGAUCCCUUAUUUUUCUAAAAUUUAUGCAUGAAUAACUUAUAGUUCACUUUACACUGCAGCUGAGGUUUGUAAUUAUUUUCUUUAACCACCUCUAUCCAUCCAUCCAUCCAUCCCUGUCUGUCUGUUCUGCACAGGGCUCUUGUUGAUGCUUUCCAUUCACAUGGAUGGUUGGGAGUGUCCUAAAACAGAUACUUGCUACUACUGGGGUGCACUACUGGCUUGAGAUCUGGCUUGAGAUGGACAUGAUCGACAGCAAUACUCAGGUCUGAUUGGUGGAGUGGUGUAGAUGUUGCUGGCCAUCUGGAAGGUUCCCUCUCCAUAGAGCAACGUUGGAGCUCUGUCAGAGUGACCAUCGGGUUCUUUGUCACAUAGCUAAUUAAAAUAUGAGCCUUCAACCCUGAUUGCCCAGAUUGGCCAGGCGACCGGCUCAAAAAGGAGUUUUGGUGGUUUCAAAUUUCUUCCAUUGACCGAUGAUAGAGGCUGCUGUGCUCAUGGUCGUAGAAACAUCUGACAGGUGAUCCGGGGAAGCAGGAUGCACCUGAGCCCAAUUCUGAGUGUCAUAGAAAAGGCUGUGGAUGCAAAUAUAAGUGAUAUUUUUGUUUUUUAUUUUUAAUAAAUUUUCAAGAAUUUCAAGCAAACCUUUUCACUUUGUUAUUAUGGGGUACAAGUGGAAUGUGGACUGUGAAGUGCUGUGAAUUGUUAGUCCUGUCCUUCCUCAUGAAUAAUGGGUUUCCUCCAAGUGGUUCUGAUUUGACUUGUGUCAUUUGUCAAUUUCACUUUGCUCACCUGUUUUUUGUUUUUUUUGCAUGUGGUUUUUUUGUUGUUGUUUUUUUUUACUUCAACAAGAAAAGUCAUUAAGGUCGGCCUCUCUACAUUUAGGUCCUCUCAACACCCCUCCACUCCUAAAUGCUUGGUUUCCAGUGUUUUACCCACUCCUUGGUCUUAUUGAUGUCAACUGGAGUGGAAUUCCUUGAACGGUUAACUCCGGCACAACCACAGCUGAGCACAGCACGCCCACUGCCCUGAUCCCUCUGAUGGGAACGUUUUUUCCACAGCCGUGCUCAAGUGUACUCUUCAGGUUUUUGGAGGGUCAAUAAGAAAUGUUCACGUGGUUGUGAAGGAAAGUUCAAUUCUAAAGUGCAAGACAACAAUACAAGUUUAACCUAGUUCUAUAAACAUUGUGCUAUUAGAGCAAUUGUAAAGAGUCAUAACCAAAACCUGGGAGUGAUAUAAUAUCACUUAAAUGGAAUGAAUUGCUUAUAAUUACAGUUUUAGUGUAGGCAAUGAGCAACUUUAGUAUUUUUUGCUUGACGCUUUCCACUUCAGUCCAUUGUUUAGCACAUUUCUCUCACAUCCACAUGUUCCCAGAAUCAACAUGCUGGAAAAAAAGAUCAGACCAGUUUUCUGAGCAAUAGUUACAGAAUUAACUGAUAAUUUCAAAGUUGUUUCUAACAUCUUUACAGCUACAGAUUAUUAAAUUAUUUUAGAUACAGUUUCUUAAAGCAUGCCUUCCUCCUUUCCCCCACCUCUAUGGUUUCAUAGUGUUUAGUUGUAGUUAUGUUUAUGUCUCUUUCUAUUCUGCUUUUUUUUUUUUUACUUGGUCUCAUCAAAUGUUUUAGUUAGUUAGUUUAUCUUUUAACUGUGAAAACAAUUUCCCAUUCCUGAUUAUUCUGUUUGUCACCCUCAUUUGGUCUUGAAAUCUUUUCUUUGGUGCAGUUUGUGCUUAUAACACAUUUUCAUGUUAUUCUAACAUUUCUGUAUUUUGAUCUAAAAGCAUGGCGAUGUGGAAGUUGUAGAUCUGGAGAACUGUGCCUUUGACCUCCUCUGGACAGCAAUGUAACUUUCACUAGUGCACAAUAAAGGCUUUUUAUAGUUGGUUUUGGUUAAUAAUCAGCACCUGGAAACGAAAUAUCCAUCAAUAAUUCACCAGCCAUAUAUGAGUGUUUACAAAAGGUGUUUAUUUGCUGACUGUAC